GAUGAACGCUAGCGGGAGGCUUAAUACAUGCAAGUCGAGCGGCAAGGUCUUCGGACCCUAGAGCGGCGCACGGGUGAGUAACACGUAGGUAACCUGCCCCCCAGUCUGGAACAACUAGAGGAAACUCUAGCUAAUGCCGGAUGAGACCACGAUCCCUUCGGGGGUUGCGGCCAAAGAUGGCCUCUACUUGUAAGCUAUCGCUGAGGGAUGGGCCUGCGGGCCAUUAGCUUGUUGGUGAGGUAACGGCUCACCAAGGCUGUGAUGGCUAGCUGGUCUGAGAGGAUGACCAGCCACACUGGGACUGAGACACGGCCCAGACUCCUACGGGAGGCAGCAGUGGGGAAUAUUGCGCAAUGGGCGAAAGCCUGACGCAGCGACGCCGCGUGGGUGAUGAAGGGCCUUCGGGUC
rnacentral:rRNA from 1 species